rnacentral:rRNA from 1 species
AGAGUUUGAUCAUGGCUCAGGAUGAACGCUAGCGACAGGCCUAACACAUGCAAGUCGAGGGGCAUCGGGACGUAGCAAUACGUUGCCGGCGACCGGCGGAUGGGUGAGUAACGCGUAUGCAACCUACCCGUAGCAGGGGGAUAGCCCGUUGAAAGACGGAUUAAUACCCCGUAACACAGGGGCUCCGCAUGGAGAUUAUUGUUAAAGGGUCAUUUCUUUUUCAGGGAUGGUCCGGCUGCGGAUGGGCAUGCGUUCCAUUAGGUAGUUGGUGUAGGUAACUGCUCACCAAGCCGACGAUGGAUAGGGGAACUGAGAGGUUGGUCCCCCACACUGGUACUGAGACACGGACCAGACUCCUACGGGAGGCAGCAGUGAGGAAUUUUGGUCAAUGGACGCAAGUCUGAACCAGCCAUGUCGCGUGAAGGAGGACGGCCCUAAGGGUUGUAAACUUCUUUUGCAGUGGAAUAAAGUUUGCCACGUGUUGGCGAUUUGCAAGUACGCUGCGAAUAAGGAUCGGCUAACUCCGUGCCAGCAGCCGCGGUAAUACGGAGGAUCCAGGCGUUAUCCGGAUUUAUUGGGUUUAAAGGGUGCGCAGGCGGGGAAUUAGGUCGGCGGUGAAAUUUCGGGGCUCAACCUCGACAGUGCCGUUGAAACCGUUUCUCUUGAGUGCGGAUGAGGUAGGCGGAAUUUGUGGUGUAGCGGUGAAAUGCGUAGAUAUCACAAGGAACACCGAUUGCGGAGGCAGCUUACUAAACCGUUACUGACGCUCAUGCACGAAGCGUGGGGAUCAACAGAUUAGAUACCCUGNAGUCACGCAGUAACGAUGAUUACUGCUGUUGCGAUACACAGUA